rnacentral:rRNA from 1 species
AUUGAACGCUGGCGGCAUGCUUUACACAUGCAAGUCGAACGGCAGCACGGGUGCUUGCACCUGGUGGCGAGUGGCGAACGGGUGAGUAACGCAUCGGAACGUGCCCAGAGGUGGGGGAUAGCCCGGCGAAAGCCGGAUUAAUACCGCAUACGCCCUGAGGGGGAAAGUGGGGGACCGCAAGGCCUCACGCCAUUGGAGCGGCCGAUGUUGGAUUAGCUAGUUGGUGGGGUAAAGGCCUACCAAGGCGACGAUCCAUAGCUGGUCUGAGAGGAUGAUCAGCCACACUGGGACUGAGACACGGCCCAGACUCCUACGGGAGGCAGCAGUGGGGAAUUUUGGACAAUGGGGGCAACCCUGAUCCAGCCAUGCCGCGUGAGUGAAGAAGGCCUUCGGGUUGUAAAGCUCUUUCAGUCGGGAAGAAAAGGGAUGCUCGAAUAAAGUGUCCUCAUGACGGUACCGACAGAAGAAGCACCGGCUAACUACGUGCCAGCCGCCGCCGUAA